rnacentral:lncRNA from 1 species
AGAUAAUCUAUUUCGAUGCGACUUCUGUUAUUUUUACGUCUUCUACAACUUGGAACGUUAACAAUGAAAAAUUUUCUAAACCUUUUUUAUAAUACUUUUUUUUUCAUCCAACUUAACGUGAUUAACUAGAAAACAUAUGAAGCAAACCUGGAAACACAAACUUGGUGGACAAGCAUUUGAUAGAAGAAGCAAAUGAUUACGUUAUAUACUUGACAAUAAUCCAAUUUAUAAAACAAAGAACAAACUCUGAAUAUACAAAAAAAGGAUAUCUGAUGUAUUUUUCAGAGAAAGCAGUAUCACACGAUUUAGGUUCUAGAUCGUAUAUCACCAGUGCCUUUUGAUAAAUAAUCAUAGAACAACAACUUCUUCAAAUUGAAAUAGUCUUCAAAUUCUUUAGGCUCCUCUCUCUCUAUGUCUCUAUCUUUCUCUUUUGUACUUGGCUUAGCUAAUGUUUAUGCUGACUGCAUUGCUAAGUCUAAGCUAGCUAAGUCUGCUCUCUUGUUCCUCUGUUCUACAGAGUGAUUGUAUAGACCCCUUUAAUUAAGUAACGAAUUUGAUGUUGCCCUAAAAAAAAGAAUAUUGAGGAAAUGUGGAGGGAAAACUGAUGUGUUUUCAAAUAAAUAAAGCCUAAGUUAAGGCCUAUGUAAAUUGGGUUAUGGGCUUCAUAAUAA